UACGGGGGGAGCAAGCGUUGUCCGGAUUCAUUGGGCGUAAAGAGCUCGUAGGCGGCUUGGCAAGUCGGAUGUGAAAACUCCAGGCUCAACCUGGAGCCGCCAUUCGAUACUGCCAUGGCUAGAGUCCGGUAGGGGAGUGUGGAAUUCCCGGUGUAGCGGUGAAAUGCGCAGAUAUCGGGAGGAACACCGAUGGCGAAGGCAGCACUCUGGGCCGGUACUGACGCUGAGGAGCGAAAGCGUGGGGAGCGAACAGG
rnacentral:rRNA from 1 species